rnacentral:rRNA from 1 species
GAUGAACGCUAGCGGCAGGCCUAAUACAUGCAAGCCGAACGGCAAGUUUGAUAGCAAUGUUUGACCUAGAGUGGCGCAAGGGUGCGUAACACGUAUGCAACCUGCCCGCGACAGGAGGAAAGCUCCCCGAAAGGGGAAUUAACCCUCCAUAACACCAUGAGAAGGCAUCUGAUUAUGGUUAAACCGCAAGGGGUCGCGGAUGGGCAUGCGGUUGAUUAGCUAGUUGGCGGGGUAAAGGCCCACCAAGGCGGUGAUCAAUAGGGGUUCUGAGAGGACGGUCCCCCAGACUGGCACUGAGAUACGGGCCAGACUCCUACGGGAGGCAGCAGUAGGGAGUAUUGGACAAUGGUUGCAAGCCUGAUCCAGCCAUGCCGCGUGCAGGAAGAAGGCCUUCUGGGUCGUAAACUGCUUUUUCCUGUGGAUAAAAUACCCGUGCGCGGGGAAUUGAAGGUAACAGGAGAAUAAGCCACGGCUAACUACGUG